ACGACAAAAAUCUACCACCUACAUGCUGCAAAGUAUACUAUGAAGGCAGAAUUCCAGCAUCGGCAGUGACAUCCUGUGAAGUAACAGAUACCAGAUGUCCCAUGAUGGCUGUAAUCAUAACCACAAGAAAAGGAGACAGGGUAUGCAUUAACCCAGAGAAGCGAGCAAGAAUAAUGAAGAAAUGUUUAUCACUGGAAGAUAAGAAGAUUGCUUAAAUGAAACACAUGUACAGUAAUAUAAAUGGUUCUAUAUGCUUUCAUUUGUUUGUCAGUUUCAAAUGAUGUUAAACAGAUAAAUAGAUAGGAAGUAUUAUGGGAUAAGAGAUAUAUGACAGUAAUUUUUGUUUGUUAAAGUGAAAACUUGUGGUUAUAAAUAAAAUAUAAUAUACAAAAGAAAAAUCAGACCCUUUUUGCGUUUUCAGGGUGUGUUUUUGUCAAUAUUACAUUAAACAGAAUCUUACAAGAUUGUGGAAAAGGCUGUAAAGCAAAUCAAUUAACUGUGACCAAGAAGAGGCUGAUCUUGGACUUUAUACUGCGUUAUAUAGAUUUUGGACCCCAUGAAAGCAUAUCAUACUGGGGCCCCAACCCAGACCAAUCAUAUUAUGUAUUUUCCGGGGCCCCUGUAGCUCGGGGGCCCUUGUAAUCGUCCUAACUGUCCCACCUUUGACGGUGCCCCUGCAGAUGGGCCCAACAACAGUUGAUUCUCGCACACACUUUGUGGGAAUCUGCUAACACUGUCUACGUGACUUUGUGUACUUGCAGAAAGACUGUGACUGCAAGCCCCAGCAAAUAUUCUGUGAAGAGGUUCAGCAAUAAGGGGCUGCUACUAAAGUGAUUAACCGUUUUUCUCAUUGUUGUUGUUGCUAUUGUUGUUUUUUGUAGAUCAAUAAACCUCCAUUAAGGAA